rnacentral:tRNA from 2 species
UCCCGGUUGGUGAAAUGGUAUCACGCCUGGCUCUGAACCAGGUAUUCGUGGUUCGAGUCCAUGACCGGGAGCCA